CACUUUUUCUACCGCAGCUUGACUCAACAUGUGCUCAUAUUAAAUGAUGGAGAUAAUAUUUGUAAUGCUUGGCUCUGGCUGUGUCUCUGAAAAUGCUUUCGCUAUGAAGCACAAACAAACAGCAACACACACAUGGCACAUUUGAAGCAUUAGACUAGCAUCUGCCUUUUAUAACCUCUCUUGUUAUAAUUCAUCUCAGACCACCACUGGCAUAGUGCAUGAUGAUGCCAGUUAAGAUGAGGUGUAGGAUAUAUGAUUCCAGGUGGGAUUGGGUGUAGGAUGUAUGAUUCCAGGUAGAAUUGGGUGUAGGGUAUAUGAUUCCAGGUAGGAUUUGGGUGCAGUAUAUAUGAUUCCAGGUAGUAUUGGGUGUAGGAUAUAUGAUUCCAGGUAGAAUUGGGUGUAGUAUGUAUGAUUCCAGGUAGGAUUGGGUGUAGGGUAUAUGAUUCCAGGUAGGAUUGGGUGUAGGAUAUAUGAUUCCAGGUAGAAUUGGGUGUAGGAUGUAGGAUUGGGUGUAGGAUAUAUGAUUCCAGGUAGGAUUGGGUGUAGGAUAUAUGGAUCCAGGUAGGAUUGGGUGUAGGGUAUAUGAUUCCAGGUAGGAUUGGGUGUAGGGUAUAUGAUUCCGCUGUUGCUGGAGCUCUCUUUCUCGUUCCUCUCUCUUUCUCUCUCUCGCUCUUUCUCUCUCUUUCUCUCUUUCUCUCUCUAUACUUGUCUUUCUCAGGUUGUGGCGUAGUCAUACUCAUAUGUACUGAUUGUUCUGUGCUCUCUCUGUCCCUCACCAUCUCUCCCUUCCCAUCUCUCCUUCCACAUCUCUCCCUCCCCAUCCCUCUCUCCAUAG
rnacentral:lncRNA from 1 species